rnacentral:rRNA from 1 species
GAUGAACGCUAGCGGCAGGCCUAAUACAUGCAAGUCGAACGGGAUUGCAGCGUAGCUUGCUACACUGCAUGAGAGUGGCGCACGGGUGCGUAACGCGUGAGCAACCUACCCAUAUCAGGGGGAUAGCCCGGAGAAAUCCGGAUUAACACCGCAUGUUACAGUAUUACCGCAUGGUAUAGCUGUUAACUAUUUAUAGGAUAUGGAUGGGCUCGCGUGACAUUAGCUAGUUGGUGGGGUAACGGCCCACCAAGGCGACGAUGUCUAGGGGCUCUGAGAGGAGAAUCCCCCACACUGGUACUGAGACACGGACCAGACUCCUACGGGAGGCAGCAGUAAGGAAUAUUGGUCAAUGGGCGGAAGCCUGAACCAGCCAUGCCGCGUGCAGGACGACUGCCCUAUGGGUUGUAAACUGCUUUUGUACGGGAAUAACCCUCUCUACGUGUAGAGAGCUGAACGUACCGUAAGAAUAAGGAUCGGCUAACUCCGUGCCAGCCGCCGCCGUAA